AGAGUCUAGAGUUUAGCGGUCUUCUUUUUCUCCUUCCCUUCAUUUCUCACAAUAUAUGAAUCCAAGAAAGUCCACAGUCUAACCCUAGACGAUAAACUCCCAAAUUUUUUCUAUCUAAAAAUCCCUUUUUAUCGGAGCGUCUACAGCUUAACGGACUUUUUAUUCUCCUUCCCUUCAUUUCUCACAAUCAAUGAAUUCGAGAAAGUUCACAGUUUAACCCUAGCCGAAAAUCUCCCAAAUUUUCUCUAUCUAAAAAUCCCUUCUCAACAAAAGCCAUUUUCUGAAGGAUUCGAUGAAUCUCAGGAGAGCCGAAGCAGUUACCCCUGAAAAGGGAUCGAGAUAUAUUGGAAUCUCCAAAAACGCAGAGAAUUCGAAUCCCAAUGUAUCAAGUCUAGGUUUAAAGUUGUCUAAUUCGCCAUUGGUGAAAUCUACAAAAGGCACAAAGAAGGCAGUUUGCGAAACCCUAGCCAAAGAACAAGAAUCGAGGGCGAAAUUUUGUGAUCGCAAAGAAUAAAUCAUAGAAAGAUGAAUCGAAUGAUUUGGCGGCGGAUAUGGCUUGUACCAAGUGUAAGAAGACAAAUGGGAGAUCAAAAUAGACAAUGUAGUUGAUUGCGAGAAGUUAAAAGGAAUGUAAUGUUAGAGUAGAUGAGGAGGAGAGUGAAGUCAAUUCCAUGAAUCAGAAUACAGAUUUUGCAUAAGGAUAUGAAAGGACGGUGGAGAAAAAUGGUGAUUUUCUUGAGAUUAACGGGGAAAAUAAAGAUGAUUUUAAUGGGAAUGAGGUGAAUUUUGAAAUGGGUAUGAAAAGGAGGAGGGCUAGAUUGUUGGAAGGGGCAAGGAAAAGUCAAAAGUGUGCUGAAUCGUGGGGCUCGAAGAGUGAUGCAUUUGGUUAAGGCCUUUGAGAAGCUUUUGACCAUUACAAAAUCAAGCGAUUUUAAGGAAAAAGAGGAGCAAGAAUUGGAGGAAACUAAGAAAGGAAUCAAAUGGGCAUUGUCUGGAUUGCAAAAACCUCCCGAGAUUCCAGAAAUGCAGGUUUCUUCAUCUUCAUUAUGUUCUUCAGAUUUUUUCCUCACCACAGAGAGCUUAGGCUUGGAUUCACGCCGUACAUCUUCUCUAGAUGGCAGCCAAUGAAGGUGCAUUGUACUGUAAGUUAGUUUGUUGAUUCUUAAACUAAAAAAUUGUGUCCCUAUUAGUUAAUCUUAUUAGAUAUGUUAUGUGACUCAAGUAUUGCAAGCAGAACCGGUGGUCGAAGAAGUAGACGGAAUAGUAUGGAUUCAUCUGGGACUUUUGCUAGAAGAUAAUGGAAGAGAAGGAAGCCUAAAGCAACCUCCCUAAAGCCCUUCAAGCUUAGAACUGAGGAAAGAGGAAAAUGCAAAGAGGUAGAAUUUAUGAAGAAGGUACAACAAAUGAUGGAGGAAGAGGAGAGGCUUAGAAUACCAAUAGCUCUUGGUCUUCCAUGAACAAUUGACGAACCAGACGUAAUUCAGUAGUACUAUGGGAAAGUUUUUAGUCUAACAUAAACUCUUUUAAAUUACUGAUCAUGACAACACACUUUUCCUUUUGUAAUUCUGUUUUGAAUUUUUGAAAUUUGUCUAGCUCCUGAUUUUUUUUGAUCA